CCCCUCCUCGCCACCGGCGUCCCCUCUCUCCUGCCUGGCUGCCGUCACACGGUAGAGCGCGACUCCCCAGCUCAGGGCGAUGACUCGGUAUUAAAGAGUGACCUUGGCUUAGAUACAAAAAUAGGUGCGGGAAGAUGCAAGAGAAUGGAAGGCGAGCACUCCCUUCGCAAUCUAGACAAGCCCGAGAGCCUGGACUUCCAUCUUGAGAGACAGCAAGGAACCACCAAAUUCCUGAGUUCACCUUUUCUCUUCCAGAAUCCAGCACAUGCAAACUAACCCUGACCCAGAAGGAUUGCGACUCCACCCUCCUUUUUCUCCCCUUUCCCUCCCAGUUUUCUUCCUGGGCCUCAACGCCCAGUGUCCUCUUGGCUAGUUACACUCCAACGGACAAAAGAUAAGCUCUCAAAUAUUUAAAGCAUGGUAGAUUUCUUAAAAGUAAUGCAUGCCUUGGUUUAAAUAUGUUUAAUAAAUGUAUUGAGAAAGAGUAUUUAAUUUUAAGACUUUGUUUUACAGUACCUAAACUCUGAAAAAUAAACUCAUCAUCCAAGAGCCA